CAGAGGUUACUGCUAUCGRGRKUCGACUAAGCCAUGCGAGUUGAAUGUUCUUCGUGAACAUGGCGGACUGCUCAGUAACACGUGGACAACCUACCCUUGGGUCCGGCAUAAUCCUGGGAAACUGGGAAUAAUUCCGGAUAGGUCACCGAUGCUGGAAUGCGCGGUGGCCGAAAGCUCCGGCGCCCGAGGAUGGGUCUGCGGCCUAUCAGGGUUGUAGUGGGUGUAACGUACCUACUAGCCUACGACGGGUACGGGUUGUGAGAGCAAGAGCCCGGAGAUGGAUUCUGAGACACGAAUCCAGGCCCUACGGGGUGCAGCAGGCGCGAAAACUUUACAAUGCGGGAAACCGUGAUAAGGGGAUCUCGAGUGCCAGCAUAUAAUGUUGGCUGUCCAGAUGCCUAAAAAGCAUCUGUUAGCAAGGGCCGGGCAAGACCGGUGCCAGCCGCCGCGGUAACACCGGCGGCCCGAGUGGUAACCGCUAUUAUUGGGUCUAAAGGGUCUGUAGCCGGCCAGGUAAGUCCCUUGGGAAAUCUGGCAGCUCAACUGUCAGGCUGCUAGGGGAUACUGUUUGGCUUGGGACCGGGAGAGGUGAGAGGUACCUUGGGGGUAGGGGUGAAAUCUUGUGAUCCUCGAGGGACCACCAGUGGCGAAGGCGUCUCACCAGAACGGGUCCGACGGUAAGGGACGAAAGCUAGGGGCACGAACCGGAUUAGAUACCCGGGUAGUCCUAGCCGUAAACGAUGCUCGCUAGGUGUCAGUCACGGUGCGACCGUGAUUGGUGCCGUAGGGAAGCCGUGAAGCGAGCCACCUGGGAAGUAUGGCCGCAAGGCUGAAACUUAAAGRAWKUSSCGRGSRSWRCWYUMCGWWCSGGUGGAGCCUGCGGUUUAUUG
rnacentral:rRNA from 1 species